rnacentral:rRNA from 1 species
UUAAAUUGAAGAGUUUGAUCAUGGCUCAGAUUGAACGCUGGCGGCAGGCCUAACACAUGCAAGUCGAACGGUAACAGAAAGCAGCUUGCUGCUUUGCUGACGAGUGGCGGACGGGUGAGUAAUGUCUGGGAAACUGCCUGAUGGAGGGGGAUAACUACUGGAAACGGUAGCUAAUACCGCAUAACGUCGCAAGACCAAAGAGGGGGACC